rnacentral:rRNA from 1 species
CAAAUUGAAGUGCUUACUGCAUUUUUUCUUACACAUGUGUUUUUCUUUUUUUGAAAACUUUGCUUUGGUAGGCCUUCUAUAUGGGGCCUGCCAGAGAUUAAACUCAACCAAAUUUUAUUUAAUGUCAACCGAUUAUUUAAUAGUCAAAACUUUCAACAACGGAUCUCUUGGUUCUCGCAUCGAUGAAGAACGCAGCGAAAUGCGAUAAGUAAUAUGAAUUGCAGAUAUUCGUGAAUCAUCGAAUCUUUGAACGCACAUUGCGCCCUUUGGUAUUCCAAAGGGCAUGCCUGUUUGAGCGUCAUUUCUCCCUCAAACCCUCGGGUUUGGUGUUGAGCGAUACGCUGGGUUUGCUUGAAAGAAAGGCGGAGUAUAAACUAAUGGAUAGGUUUUUUCCACUCAUUGGUACAAACUCCAAAACUUCUUCCAAAUUCGACCUCAAAUCAGGUAGGACUACCCGCUGAACUUAAGCAUAUCAAUAAGCGGAGGAA